rnacentral:rRNA from 1 species
GAUUCGGAAUGGGCGAGAGCCUGACCGAGCAACNCCGCGUGCAGGAGGACGCUUUUCGGAGUGUCNACUGCUUUUGUCUGGGAAGAGGAUGGACGGUACCAGAGGAAGAAGCCCCGGCUAACUACGUGCCAGCAGCCGCGGUAAUACGUAGGGGGCGAGCGUUGUCCGGAGUUACUGGGCGUAAAGGGCAUGCAGGCGGUGGCGCGCGUUUUGUGUGACAGCGGAUGGCUUAACUAUCCGAGCAUACGAAAGACGGCGGCACUUGAGAGCGCGAGAGGGACACGGAAUUCCGGGUGGAGUGGUGAAAUGCGUAGAGAUCCGGAGGAACACCGAAGGCGAAGGCAGUGUCCUGGCGCGUAUCUGACGCUGAGGUGCGAAAGCCAGGGGAGCGAACGGGAUUAGAUACCCCGGUAGUCCUGGCCGUAAACGAUGACCACUAGGUGUAGGAGGUAUCGACCCCUUCUGUGCCGUCGGGAACCCAUUAAGUGGUCCGCCUGGGGAGUACGGUCGCAAGAUUAAAACUCAAAGGAAUUGACGGA